rnacentral:rRNA from 1 species
UACGUAGGAUGCGAGCGUUGUCCGGAAUUAUUGGGCGUAAAGAGAACGUAGGCGGUUUCUUAAGUUUGGUCUUAAAGACCGGGGCUCAACCCCGGGAUGGAUCGAAAACUGGGAGACUGGAGGAUGUCAGAGGAAAGUGGAAUUCCGAGUGUAGCGGUGAAAUGCGUAGAUAUUCGGAGGAACACCAGUGGCGAAAGCGACUUUCUGGGGCAU